rnacentral:rRNA from 1 species
CUGGCGGCAGGCCUAACACAUGCAAGUCGAACGAACUCUUCGGAGUUAGUGGCGGACGGGUGAGUAACACGUGGGAACGUGCCUUUAGGUUCGGAAUAACUCAGGGAAACUUGUGCUAAUACCGAAUGUGCCCUUCGGGGGAAAGAUUUAUCGCCUUUAGAGCGGCCCGCGUCUGAUUAGCUAGUUGGUAGUGUAAUGGACUACCAAGGCGACGAUCAGUAGCUGGUCUGAGAGGAUGAUCAGCCACAUUGGGACUGAGACACGGCCCAAACUCCUACGGGAGGCAGCAGUGGGGAAUCUUGCGCAAUGGGCGAAAGCCUGACGCAGCCAUGCCGCGUGAAUGAUGAAGGUCUUAGGAUUGUAAAAUUCUUUCACCGGGGACGAUAAUGACGGUACCCGGAGAAGAAGCCCCGGCUAACUUCGUGCCAGCAGCCGCGGUAAUACGAAGGGGGCUAGCGUUGCUCGGAAUUACUGGGCGUAAAGGGAGCGUAGGCGGACAUUUAAGUCAGGGGUGAAAUCCCGGGGCUCAACCUCGGAAUUGCCUUUGAUACUGGGUGUCUUGAGUAUGAGAGAGGUGUGUGGAACUCCGAGUGUAGAGGUGAAAUUCGUAGAUAUUCGGAAGAACACCAGUGGCGAAGGCGACACACUGGCUCAUUACUGACGCUGAGGCUCGAAAGCGUGGGGAGCAAACAGGAUUAGAUACCCUGGUAGUCCACGCCGUAAACGAUGAUUGCUAGUUGUCGGGAUGC